GCCACUGUGGUGUAGUGGUUAGAGUGCUGGACUUAUGAUUCUGGAGACCAAGGUUCGGUUCCCUGCUCAGCCA